AACAGGAUUAGAUACCCUGGUAGUCCACGCCGUAAACGAUGUCGAUUUGGAGGUUGUGCCCUUGAGGCGUGGCUUCCGGAGCUAACGCGUUAAAUCGACCGCCUGGGGAGUACGGCCGCAAGGUUAAAACUCAAAUGAAUUGACGGGGGCCCGCACAAGCGGUGGAGCAUGUGGUUUAAUUCGAUGCAACGCGAAGAACCUUACCUACUCUUGACAUCCAGAGAACUUAGCAGAGAUGCUUUGGCGCCUUCGGGAACUCUGAGACAGGUGCUGCAUGGCUGUCGUCAGCUCGUGUUGUGAAAUGUUGGGUUAAGUCCCGCAACGAGCGCAACCCUUAUCCUUUGUUGCCAGCGGUUCGGCCGGGAACUCAAAGGAGACUGCCAGUGAUAAACUGGAGGAAGGUGGGGAUGACGUCAAGUCAUCAUGGCCCUUACGAGUAGGGCUACACACGUGCUACAAUGGCGUAUACAAAGAGAAGCGACCUCGCGAGAGCAAGCGGACCUCAUAAAGUACGUCGUAGUCCGGAUUGGAGUCUGCAACUCGACUCCAUGAAGUCGGAAUCGCUAGUAAUCGUAGAUCAGAAUGCUACGGUGAAUACGUUCCCGGGCCUUGUACACACCGCCCGUCACACCAUGGGAGUGGGUUGCAAAAGAAGUAGGUAGCUUAACCUUCGGGAGGGCGCUUACCACUUUGUGAUUCAUGACUGGGGGUGAAGUCGUAACAAGGUAACCGUAGGGGAACCUGCGGCUGGAUCACCUCCUU
rnacentral:rRNA from 1 species